rnacentral:rRNA from 1 species
AUUGAACGCUGGCGGCAGGCCUAACACAUGCAAGUCGAGCGGAUGAAGGGAGCUUGCUCCUGGAUGCAGCGGCGGACGGGUGAGUAAUGCCUAGGAAUCUGCCUUGUAGUGGGGGAUAACGUCCGGAAACGGGCGCUAAUACCGCAUACGUCCUGAUGGAGAAAGUGGGGGAUCUUCGGACCUCACGCUAUCAGAUGAGCCUAGGUCGGAUUAGCUAGUUGGUGGGGUAAAGGCCUACCAAGGCGACGAUCCGUAACUGGUCUGAGAGGAUGAUCAGUCACACUGGAACUGAGACACGGUCCAGACUCCUACGGGAGGCAGCAGUGGGGAAUAUUGGACAAUGGGCGAAAGCCUGAUCCAGCCAUGCCGCGUGUGUGAAGAAGGUCUUCGGAUUGUAAAGCACUUUAAGUUGGGAGGAAGGGCAGUAAGUUAAUACCUUGCUGUUUUGACGUUACCAACAGAAUAAGCACCGGCUAACUUCGUG